AGGAAAACUGAACGGAACUCUUCGGAGGGAAGGCAGUGGAAUGAGCGGCGGACGGGUGAGUAACACGUAAGGAACCUGCCUCAAGGAUUGGGAUAACUCCGAGAAAUCGGAGCUAAUACCGGAUAGUUCAACGGACCGCAUGGUCCGCUGAUGAAAGGCGCUNCGGCGUCACCUUGAGAUGGCCUUGCGGUGCAUUAGCUAGUUGGUGGGGUAAUGGCCCACCAAGGCGACGAUGCAUAGCCGACCUGAGAGGGUGAUCGGCCACACUGGGACUGAGACACGGCCCAGACUCCUACGGGAGGCAGCAGUAGGGAAUCUUCCACAAUGGACGAAAGUCUGAUGGAGCAACGCCGCGUGAGUGAUGAAGGUUUUCGGAUCGUAAAACUCUGUUGUAAGGGAAGAACACGUACGAGAGGUAAUGCUCGUACCUUGACGGUACCUUACGAGAAAGCCACGGCUAACUACGUGCCAGCAGCCGCGGUAAUACGUAGGUGGCAAGCGUUGUCCGGAAUUAUUGGGCGUAAAGCGCGCGCAGGCGGCCUUUUAAGUCUGAUGUGAAAGCCCCCGGCU
rnacentral:rRNA from 1 species